rnacentral:rRNA from 1 species
GCUUACGGCCACACCGCCUUUGGUUCACGCCCGACCGCUUUGACUCGGAAGCUAAGAUAGGUUGGGCCUGGUUAGUACUUGGAGGGAGACCGCCGGGAAACCAGGUGCUGUAAGCU